GCUGCAUAUGCUUUUAGAAUUGAUGCAUUUCAGUAUUACCAUUAAAACAUGAGAAUCCUUCCCCAUUUUUGUGGUGCUGGGAAUCAAACCGAAGACCUAGCAUGUGCUUGGUGAGCAUUUGACCACUGAGCUACACUUCUCAGCCCCAAACAUGGGAUUCUUAACACUCAUGAAACCACCUAGGAGCAGAUUGUAGCAUCAUUAGGUAUUAAAGGUUCUCCCACUGUGUCAUCAAAGCUGCUAGUCAUUAUUGGCAAUCAGUUUAAAUUACCAGAAAGCUGCUGGGAAACAUCUGCCAUUCACACUGUUUGCAAGCACUGCUUGCUAGCAUUUUAGUAUGUUUGGAGCCAUAAAGAGAAAGUAUCCGCUGUUGACUACUUCUGUUUGUCCACGCUGCAUUUCCUGUGAACUGUUAAUGGUGCUUCUCGUUUUCUGAUUAUUUUUCUUAUGUGUUAAACAAGUGAAUUAAAAGAUGUUUUCAUAAUGCCAAACAACAUAGCAGUUCAGUGAUCAUGAUCAAAUAGUAAAAAUACAAGGUGUCCCCAAAAUUAGUGACUACUUCGCACUUACUGUCCUGCGGGGUCUCUGGAGACACUACAACAGAAGCAUAAAAGUUACACACUUCACAGAACAUCAUUUGAAAGUUUUAAUUUUACCAAUUUGAAAUAAUUAAGCUAAUUUUUUUUGUUUCUCAAAGAUUGUAAACAUAAACCAAAAAUAUUCCAAAUUUGGAGAAUUAAGUUGAAAAGAAAGGUAACUUAAAACUUUUAAAUAAUGUUUCAUUAGUUUUGUAGCAUUUUUAUAAUUCUACAGGCAUCAGAGCUUACUUACCACUGCAUGGAGAUUUGGGAGCUGCUUGUCUUUCCAUGGAAGCACUCCUGUUUUCAAGUAGUUCUUUGCCAGGCUGGGCUCUAACUGCUUUGAUCACCUAAGUGUCUUUACACUCAGUUAAGGGAGGCUAUGAAAAGCAGUGUUAACUCCCAUGCAACAAAUCAAAAGGAACCAGAUCCUCAAACAGCCAGAUCGGAAGAGCGUCG